CCCUUAGAUGUUCUGGGCCGCACGCGCGCUACACUGAUGCAUUCAACAAGCCUAGCCUUGACCGAGAGGUCCGGGUAAUCUUUGAAACUGCAUCGUGAUGGGGCUAGAUUAUUGCAAUUAUUAAUCUUCAACGAGGAAUGCCUAGUAAGCGUGAUUCAUCAAAUCGCGUUGAUUACGUCCCUGCCCUUUGUACACACCGCCCGUCGCACCUACCGAUUGAAUGGUCCGGUGAAAUCUCGGGACGGCGGCUUGGUCGCUUGCGUCCGACUGCUGAAACUUGAUUAAACCAUAUCAUUUAGAGGAAGGUGAAGUCGUAACA
rnacentral:rRNA from 1 species